rnacentral:rRNA from 1 species
UACAGAGGUCCCAAGCGUUGUUCGGAUUCACUGGGCGUAAAGGGUGCGUAGGUGGCGGGGUAAGUCUGAUGUGAAAUCUCCAAGCUUAACUUGGAAAUGGCAUUGGAAACUACUUUGCUUGAGGGUUGGAGGGGGGACUGGAAUACUUGGUGUAGCAGUGAAAUGCGUAGAUAUCAAGUGGAACACCAGUGGCGAAGGCGAGUCCCUGGACAACUCCUGACACUGAGGCACGAAAGCUAGGGGAGCAAACAGG